UACGUGAGGGCGCAAGCGUUGUCCGGAAUUAUUGGGCGUAAAGAGCUCGUAGGCGGUCUGUCGCGUCGGAUGUGAAAGCCCGGGGCUUAACCCCGGGUCUGCAUUCGAUACGGGCAGACUAGAGUGUGGUAGGGGAGAUCGGAAUUCCUGGUGUAGCGGUGAAAUGCGCAGAUAUCAGGAGGAACACCGGUGGCGAAGGCGGAUCUCUGGGCCAUUACUGACGCUGAGGAGCGAAAGCGUGGGGAGCGAACAGG
rnacentral:rRNA from 1 species